GAUGAAGUUCUGCUCAAUUAGGGGACGCUCAUAUAUUUGAUGAUUAGAAUAAGAAUAAAUAGACAUUUAUUCCGACAGAAAAAUACAGCGAAUGACACGUGCAUCAUCGUCAGACAAUAAUAUCACACAAAUUUCCCUUAUUGCUCUUCCUGCAAUACAUCAAAUGUGAAUUUUAACAUUUUGAGCCGAUGACCUAUUUUUGUCAUAACUGCUCCGAUGCAAACUGGCUCCAUAGACUGCGCUGAGAGCAUCACGUCUUCUUAAGACUCUCUAACAGUGAUGUUGCCAUAAAAUACGGGGUAUUAAUUAUGACUGCAAUAUAUGAGUAAGGCAAUUAUAUCAGACAGGCGCAGUCGCUGCAACGAGGACUAAUUGCAUUAUUAAAAGCUAAAAUAUUGUAAACAAGACGAACGUGCCACACAUGCUUCUCUACACGUGAAUGCACCGUAUCUAUCUAUCUAUCUAUCUAUCUAUCUAUCUAUCUAUCUAUCUAUCUAUCUAUCAUGAAAUCUGACACAUCAACGCGUUACCAUUAAGGAAAGGCCUAUUGAGAGACACUGAAAAGUUUUACUUGAUUAGUCUCAAUUUCCAGCCACCAUUAGCUGCUUUAAACAGGCCCGAGGUGACUACAAAUGAGCGUCAUCGCUUGGGCAAUAUUUACAACUUAGUUUCAAAACACAAUUAAAAAGAACUUGCACGGGAAAUGACAACAGAAAGGCCGUGCAACAGUGCAAACUGGGGUGUCUGACCGGGAAAUGCUCCACUGCAUGACUGAGACUCGGCUCGGGAUGACUUUGGUUCCCACAGGACGCAUGGCGCUUUGAUAAGAAAUGAUAAGAAAACGGAGCCAAACUCAACAACAAACAAAGGCUCUUACGCUUUGUUAAAUUCGAAGCUGUGGACCGGCCAGUUUGGUGGUCAGUGUGUUUUUUCCCCGUUCACACAAUCUGUGAUAUACAAGUGGUUCCAUAGUGUAGUGGUUAUCACGUCUGCUUUACACGCGAAGGCCGCAGAGGCCAGUCACGGAUAGGUGUAGAGCGCUAACUAGCCAAUAGGAACGAAGGAAAUUCAAGGAAGGCGGGGCGAAAAAAAUACACAGAAUUAGAGGUUCGAAUCCCGUCUUGGCCACAAAUACCAUACAAUGAGUUUGUUUUCGUUUUUUCAUCUAGAUACACUUUAAGUACGAUUAACAUAUAAUAGACGAACUUUGUGAACAAAGAUAAAAUAAAUCUUGUAAUAAUUGUUCUUUUGUAUGGUGUACAAAAUGUGCAACGAUCUUAAGAAACAUAUACAUUAUAAUAGGGAAUAGUUAUUUUUAAUAUAGAAAAUUGUGAAUUAUUAAAAAGAACAUUUUGACGUUUCAGGCCUUUAUUUUUAAAGAGACAUCUAUUUAUAUUUGUAUAACUGUGUACAGAAAACCUAUAUAUAUAUAUAUGUAAUAUAACUAACACUCACAAAAAAUUAAGUUAUCCAUUUUAUUUAUAGUAAAGUAAUAUACUUAUUAUAAAAAUGAUAAGAAAAACGAACCAAAAUAUAUAAUGAUUAAAUAAAUAUACAUAAAAUAAUCAUAGAUUAUUAAACAACAGCAACAAAUAUAAUAAAAAUAAAGAUCUGGAGAACAGAAAAAAACAAUAAAAAUAUGUUUUACAUUAAAUAAUUAUGUAUGUUUAAUAGUAACAGUUAUUAACAUUCAGUGUUUACAUAUCAGCAGCUAUGCUAAUGAUGUCUCUAUGUGUUUCUCUGUUUCUGCUGGGAUCUUCAUCCAGUGGUAACUAGGAUUUACACAAGCUCCAGUCUGGAUCCAGAACACCUGAGAAGAGAUGAUGCUGACCCUCAGAGGACCCCAGAUGAUGCUAACCCUGAAUCAACAAACAGAACUAACAAUUAUUGCUACAAGUGUGACUGCAUCAUAUAAUAAUUAUUAAUUAAUAAUAUUAAUAAUGUUCAUCAUCUGGCUGACUACGUCUUGCAUUAUUUUCUACAAAUCCUGUUAUAGGUGCACAAACUGACAGUCACCACUAAUAAACUAUUACUAAAUAUUGUAGAAACAUAAUUUUCUGUAAAGUUGCUUUCUAACGAUUUGUAUUGUAAAAAGCGCUAUACAGAUAAACUUGAAUUGAAUUGAAUUAUCUGAGCAAGUCAAUAAAAUUUAAUAUCAAUAAAAAAGAAAAUCAACAAAAUGUAUACAUUUUUUAAUCAAUAAAACUUAACACACAGUUCAAUACAGUUCAAACAAGGCCAAAUGUAAAAAAAAAAAAAAAAAAAAGAAAAUAUAUAUACAUACAUACAUAUACCACGGUCAUAUAUAUAUAUAUAUAUAUAUAUAUAUAUAUAUAUAUACACACACACAUACAUUUCAGAUAAAUGCUGUUCUUUUAAACUUUCAAUUCAUGUAAGAAACCUGAAAAGAUUGUACUCGGCUGUUUUCAACAUAACAUAACAACAACAAUAAUAAUAAUAAUCAGAAAUGUUUCUGAGCAGUAAAUCAUCAUAUUUUCAUGAUUUCUGAAGAUUAUGUGACACUGAAGACUGGAGGAAUGAUGCUGAAAAUACAGCGGAGCAUCACAGAAAUAAAUUACUCUAUAUAUUCUAAUAUAAAGCAGCUGAUUUAAAAUAGUAAGAAUAUUUAAAAUGCUACUUUUUUUUGCUGUACUUUGGAUCAAAUAAAGGCAUGCUUGGUGAGCAGAAGAGACUCCUCAAAAAACAUUACAAAUCUUUCUGCUGAAAAACAUUUGACUGGUAGAGUAUUUUAAAUAAAAUAAUUAUUUACAGAGUUUAAUAUUAGCCAUUACUAACAUUUAGUGUUUACAAAACUGAGCAAGAUAAAAUAACAAUACAAAGUCAAUACAAUUAAUUAACACACUAAAGUACAGUGUAAACAAGGCCAAUACUUCUGAUGUUUUAUUUAACAACUGGAAAUAAAUUAAAUAAUUUAAAAUUGUAGACUAAACAACAACAGCUACAAUAAUAUUAAUAAUAAUACAAUUUAAAGUUGUGGAAAACAUAGAAAAACAACAACAACAAAAAACAAGCCUUCGGCCUGUUGAAGAAGAUCCUUGCUCCUAUGGUGCGUUGCCAAGAGAUCUUCACGGGCAAUUCUCAGCAGAUCUGUCCAUCUAUGGUCCAACACGAAGACCAGCCGUUCUGAGGGGUCCAGUGUGAGCUGAACGAGGGACGCAGUUAUGGCCGAUGGUGUGGUGUUCUACAGAAGAUGAACAGGAUUACUUUAUUGCAAUAUUUGUCUUGGUGUUAUGUGCACAUAUGAGACAGACAGUUUACACACAUAAGUGCCUGUAUGAAUAAUUUAUUUACCUGCAUCUGGAAGAAACCCUUCUGACCUUUGAUCCUCCGCUGUCAAAGUGUCUGGUGUGAUGUUUUGGUGGACUGAGACCGUCUUUAGGGUGACCUACUCUGCGGAGGAUGGGUCUUGACAGAGGAUGCUUCAUCUAAACAUUCCUGAAAUAUAGAUUCAAAUUAAAUAUAUCAAAUGUAUUUUAUAAUUCAUAAUAUAUAUAAUUUUAGAUUAAA
ensembl:lncRNA